GGUGGGGGUGGGAGGUGGCGUGAAAUGUGGACAUUUAUUGACAUGUUUCCCACGAUGAGAGCUGAACAUAGAUAAAGAACUAUGUGGAGUUGUGGGGGCCAUCCUGCCCAACUUGCUGUGAGUCUUAUCAUGAGUGCGGAAACUUGUAGCGGUGUUUGCUACUUUGUGGGUUCUUCCUUUUUCCACCCUUUCAACCCCCUAACAGUAUAUAGGGGAGGAAAAAGGCUUGAAAGGAAAGAGUUAUCUACUGGAAGAUUUCUUUUGAGGAUUAGGAGGGUAGACUGGAGCUCCUUGGGGCAAGUUUAAGCUUCACCAUCCAGAUAGCUGAUUUCUUCUUCUUGUUGGUUCUUCUUUGUGCACAACUACUUACAAACCCCAACCACCAACAGCCAACAACAACCAACCAACAAACCAACAACAACUCACUCUGCCUCUCGGGGCCAUAGCAUUUAUAUACCCUCCAAAAAGUCUCCAGAAUUCCAAACGUCACACAAUUUAUCUGUAGCUGGCAAAAUCACGCCCCUGCUAGAGCACGAGGCAAAUCCAAGUCAGCUGCUGUGGACAGCCUGAAACUAGCCCUAUCCCUCACCUGGGACCAAAACAAAAACAUUCUUACAAUACAAAAUGCCAAAACUGUCACUAUAAAACAGAGGCUCAGCCCGGGAGAGAACAGUGCCAAGCCUUGCACGGCGAUUAGAUAGAUAGCCCAGGCUCUCCUCGCCACUACUUGCCGGUAGCCUAGCUGCCCAGGUCCUGCAGGAAGCUAGGACAGCGGAACCUGUGUCACUUCCUGGAAACGCAAAAAUCUGACACAGUUGAUAACCAGUCACAUCAUAUGCAAAAAUUAGCUCUUAAGUCAGGCAGGGAUACAGCUUGGUUGUAGAGCACUUGUUAAACCCAAGUAAGGCCCCAGGUUCAAUCCUCAGUACUGAUUAAAGGGAGGAAGAAAAAAAUUAAAGACAUAUGUAAGAGCCAAAAUUAGAAAAGUAUAGUCACCAUGAUGUCUGCUCUUGUUCCUCCUGAAGGUCCCUCAAAGGUCAAUGUGUUAAAAUGCUUGUUCCCAGCUUGCCUCUAGUCUCAGUGUUGUUAAGAGAGAGGAGCCUGGAGGGCUCCUUUGAGUCAUUGGGGGUGUUCCCUCCAGGGCAGUGUGAGGAUCAAAUCUCAAAGCCUUUGUACUUCUGGGCCAGGAGGGAAUGGUUUCUCACCUCAGCAUACUCCCACCCAUGAUGAGUGGUCCACCUCAACAGAGGUCUAAAAACAACACAGCCACCUAGCUGAAGGUUGCAGCCUCUAUAGAUGUCAAAAUAAAAAAAAAAAAAUUGAUCUGUUCUUAUUCAGUAAAACAAGCCUUGAACUUCUUACUCUCCUGCCUCUCCUUCCUGAGUGCUGGGAUUACAGAAUUGUACCAUCACACCCGACUUACAAGUCGGCUACUGGGGUAUUUGUUGUCAUGGCAGGAAGCUGGCUGGCGGCCUCAGAUCUGGUGAUGGAAUCUCAGUUGUGAGGGCACAUGACGGCACUGGUGCCCAAGAAAAGAGACAAAGCCAACGGUGUGGGAAUUAAAAAAAACUUGUGCUUCAAAGAUUCAAGAACAAGAAGACAAUGUGCAGAAAAGGUGACGCUCUCUGCAAAUUGCACCUCUUAGCAGUGGACUCUGUCUGAUAUCAAGGACUCUGAGGACUCAAAAAAGACAAGAGAUAAAUGAUUUAAGCAGAAAUGUCUUCAGCGUCUAAAUGGCAGUCAGAUCUGGUCCACCAUGAAACAUCAUUAGCCUCCAAGGGAGUGAAAUCAAAGCCUCAGUGAGAUGCCACCUUACACUGGGAUGGGCAAUCUCGAACCUUCUAGAAGGACUGGUGAAGUAGAAGGAUCUGAACCUCCCUCCUUGGGUGGAAUUUGACAAGACCUCUAGGGGAGGGGUCUGGAAGUUCCAGAACAGUCACAGGCUGAGGAACCCCACCCACCCCUUGGUGGACGCCCACAAGAACGGAAAGCUUACGUCUACACGGCUUCCUUUCGAUGCCAGGUGGAACAGCACAGAGGCAAAGUGGCGCUCAAGCUGAGACCUCACAGAUAGGAAGUGGUCAGCCAGGCAGAGAACAGGAAGAAGUCUGGGAUGCACUGGCAGCUGUGGCGGCAACAGCACCAACAGCAGCAGCCUCCUCUGCCACAGCCACCACCACAGCAGGAGUGAACUCACACCUGAGGUCCCACAAAGUGGUUGCUGGAGGACUCAGGAGAAGGCUGGUAAGAUCUGCACUGAGGAACCCGUGAGGACCCGAAGCGCAAGCCUGGCGAUAGCAUGGCCAUAGGGAUGAGAGGUGAAUGUGAGGGACAAGGACUCCAUGGGACACAAAUGCCAGGCAGCAGCCUAAAGUGGGGCUAACUUGCCUAUGAACUCUUAGCCUCAAGAAUGCUGGGUAAAUGUCUUAACCUCUGUGACUAUGAAAUGGGAGCCAACUAACUCCCUGUGGCAAGAGGUUCUGAGACCUGUACUGACAGACGGGAGGGCCAAAAGAAGCUGGGUGAGAAGGCCCAGGUGUUUGUUAGCUUAGGGUGGUCACACUAGGCUCCUCCCAGCCACCUAGCAACAACUUAUGUCAUCACUUGCCUCUGUAUGGGCAACUAAUAAACGACUGCUCUCAGGUCUUCAUGCAGGUCCCUCAACCAACUGGAGCCAGGGCUGUUCCUGAGCCUAAUGUCUACCUGCCAGCCUGUGGGUCCCUUGACUGGCCUCAGUGAGGAUGUGUCUAGUCCCAUAGCAAAUGAUGUAUGGGCUGAGGGGGUGGGGAGCCUGGGGGUGACACCCAGAGGAGGGGGUUCUAUUAGAUCUGUCAGAGGUGGGUGGGACUUCAUCCUCCCUGCAAUACUAAUGGUCACAUCAGGAGUGCUGGGGACCAGCCGAGCAGCAAUGUGCCUUUAUUAACAAGGCAGUACCAGCUGGUCUCUGUGAUGUCAGCAGUGGCAACUGAGAGGAGCCAGCACCAGGCCAGGGGCAGGUGUGACAGAGGCAGGGGAAGCCAGGCCACAGGCCUCUCUCUCAGCCUUACUUGGCCUCUGACCUGCUCCCUCCAUUCUCUGCCACUUGAGGAAGUUUCUCCUGGGGCUGCGGCCUGCCCCUUUGGGCUGUGCCUGCGACGGGAAUCUGCCCACUCUUAACUGUCAGGCCUGAUGCUUCACUGCCCUAACAACACAGAGUCCCCUAGGGAGUGCCAGCCUGCAGGGAGGAGACCCUUGCUGGACACCAGUGUCUGUGGGUGUCCCCAAGCACUCCGUAUGCAGCUCCCCGGCGCCAGCCCUGUCACCCACCUGUCCCUGCUCCCCCCCACCCCGGGGAAGGCGCCCUCUAUGGGCCAUCCACUCAAGCUGAGUCAACUGCCUUAGCCAGGUUUAGAGUAGAAGAAACCCAGGCAGAGAUGGAAUGAGUGGCUUAUACACAGACACAGGGAGCAGGGGCUGAGUGCUUAGCAGCUCCGCAGAUAACAAUGUCUGAGAAACCAGAGCACAGCCAAGCUCUCUUCCCAAAGAGCAGCCACUCACCCUGAGGUGCAGAAGCUGUGAAAGAAGGAAACAACAUGGAGAUCAAGGCUCAGAGGGCUCCCUUUCCUCACCAGUGGGCUUUCAAGACACAUACUGAUACCCAAGCUACUGACGGGGAACCUGAGUCUGGGCAUACUGAGUCCCAAGCCACUGUAGUUAUGAGCUAGGGGUGAGCCCAGACAUGAGACUGCAGAUGUGUGUGUGUGGCGGGGGAGGGGUAUGGGACUGUGUGUGUGUGUGUGUGUGUGUGUGUAUGUGUGUGUGUGUGUGUGUGUGUGUGUGUGUGUGUGUAGGGAAAGCAUCUCUCCUCGCUGCAAGCUUUGAUGCAUGUCCGUCACAAGUGGGCCAAGAAUGUUGGGGUGGGGGUGGGGGUGAGAGUCGGGGUAUGUUUGCUCUGAGCCUACCUGGGUCCCAGCCUGACCUAAAUCCUUCAGAGUAAAGCUAGUGGCCUGACUCUGCCACUGCCUAUGGUGACACCAACAUGGCCGACACAGGGCAGCAGGGCGGGUGUCGUGUGUUGUGUGUUGGCAGGAUGUCCUCUGACUCAGGCCUGGACUCUCCAGCUUAGGCACCGAGGUGCUGGGAUCAGGGGACCUGCCCUAGGGGAUAGGCGGUAAAUCAGUGGUAUCCGAGAUGGAGGAGCCACCUAGGCCAUUGUCACACCCUGGACCUGUCCCCACACUGCUGCCGGCCACAGAUGGGUAGGGAAAAGUCUGAGAUUUGUCACUCCCAAAUGCAAGUGCAAAAUCACCUUUUACUUACAUGUGGCUUUGUUGGAGUGGGUGUGUCACUGUGGGGUUGGGCAAUGAGACCCUCCUCCUAAACAUGUGGGAGCCAGUCUUCUCCCUUGCAGCCUUCAGAUGAAGAUGUAGAACUCUCAGCUCCUCCUGCACCAUGCCUACCUACCUGGAUGCUGCCAUGUACCCACCUUGAUGAUAAUGGACUGAACCCCUGAACCUGUAAGCCAGCCCCAAUUAAAUGUUGUCCUUUAUAAGACUU
rnacentral:lncRNA from 1 species